GGCUUUGCCAGACCAGAGCAAGCACAGAAGUGGACUGUGCUGAGUAUUGUGGCAGUGUGCAAUUGUUUUUCCUAAGAAACUGGAAUAACUGUAAAGAAAUCCAGACUCCCAGAGAAAUUCAGGUGACAUCACCAUGCAUAGGACCCUGGAAUAGGUCUGGGUCAUGGUCUGGAUUGGGGUUGGAUUUUGUCUGGUUUAUCAUCUAAGUAGUCCUAGGGUAGAGAACUGACGACAAAUAAAGAAAUGCUUGUUGAAAAAA